AAAAGCCAAAAAGACCAAAAAAAAAAAAAAAAAAAAAGAAAGAAAGAAAAGAACUUUUCCAAGAUCACAUGGCAAGGAGUGACAGAACCAGGAUGAAAAGGCACUGUCAGUCCUAGAAGGUUCCAUCCAGCAGUGGGAGGUGAGGAGAAGACUCCAUGAGCCCAAUGAACGGGAGCCUGGACAAUGGCAGAAGACUCUGGCGGAUCCAGCCUUCAUGGAGCGAUGGACCAGGAGGAGUGUGGAAUCAGAAGAACUGGAUUGGAUGCCCUCCUCUGGGCCUGACUAGCUGUGUGAACUUAGGGCAUUUGGACUCAGAGCGUUCGCUGCCGCGGGGGAUGGAUGACCCAGUGGAAGUUAGACGGCAGUUCUUGUCUUCUGAGUGUCAAAAACUGAAGCCCCGGUGGCUGCGUGUGUGAGGGGGGUUUGGAAAGAACCAACGAGUUGGAAGCCGUGGAAUGCUCCAAGUCCUCAGAUCAGAGGAUGCUCCCUGGGCCGGGGAAGGUGGGGGGGUGGGGGGAGCGGGAGUGUGUGUGUGGCAGAUGGGCCACACAUUUGCCCUGACUCCUCCCUGUUUCCUGCAGAAAUAGGCUUGGAGGACCUGAAAACCCGCAGACACAAAGAACCCACAUCCGUAUCCCCAGGGUAAAGGCUGCUGAGGCAGCAAGACCCCAGCCUGUUCCCAGGGACUGCCUGGUGACUCAGAGAUAAAGUCAUAAGGCGGCCUUGAGUCUCCUGGGGCUCCUCCACCCACUAGCUAAGGCUCACCCUGGGGAUGGAGAUAACCAGUCCUCCUACGCCCGCUGCUGCUGGGCUGACACCUGCGCUACCAGGUGGGCUGUGCACCUUUUGUCUUCGGAAGGAAAAUGUUCCUCUGAGUUUCUUUCUUUUCUUUCUUUUUUUUUUUUUUUUUUUUGACACAAGCGUAUUAGUCAUUCUGGCUCCUUGAGCCUGGCAGCACCUGGCAUUGUUUUCCGACAGUCUGACAGGUGGUGGGCUGCUGCUGCCCCCCUCCCUUACUGCCCGUGCCCAUGCUCUGAAAGGUGAGGCAAGCAUGGGGGUCAAGUAUGGGGAAGGGUAGAGGAACCACUGGCUCAACUCAGCCACAGGGUCUGUACUGACCCUGGAGCUACCAGGGGCUGGGCUAUCCAUAGGGGUCAGGCCUUCAGAGGCAGAGAGGCCCCCCCCCCCCCUGCCCAAGUAGGAGUGGGAGGCGGAGAUAAGCCUGGCCACGCCCCCUGAGCUGGCCACUGACUAGAUCCCAUUCUCUCUCUGGGCCUGUUUCUUCCUUGUUGGUAAGACUGUAGCAAGGUCAACGUGGUGGAUGAGAUAAAGAUGGUGAAAAACCAGGUUUCAUCAGCACAGGAAUGCUAACAGAUUACUGAGCACUUCCUGUGCUAUGAGGCAGCACGGUGGUAAAAGCCAGCCUGGAUUACCUGCGUUAUUCCUCCCAAAUCCCCACGAGCUGGACACUACUGUUAGCCCCAGUGUAGGGAUGAGGAAACCAAGGGUCCAGGAAGCUGCCCAAGGUCAUGGAGUUAAGAGUUGGGCAAAGCCGGGAUUCCAGUCCAGGCUGUCAAUCUCUCUUCUAUACUGUGGGGCAGUGACAGAGCUUUGCCCUGAGGUGGGGGCAUGAAGGGCCUCGGUGACCAUCUCAGCCACUCCUUGUACGGAGAAGGAGAUGGAAGCUCAGAGAGAGGAACGGACUUGCUCACGCUCUUCUUGCAGCCUGGACCCACACUGAUGUGUAAAACAUUAAGCGCUGUGCGUAGCUUUUGGACAAACAUAUUGAGGCCACAAAAAGGGCUUUCUGAGGAUGUCAAGCCUUCCCCCAGUGAGUUACCUUACAUCCUGGGGAGGGCCUGUGCAGAGGAGCGGGCAACAUUCUGGGGCCUUUGAAGACCCCUCAGAGCGGCCAGGGGCAGACGGAAGAAAAUGGGGCCAUCGCUUCCUUCUCCUGCCUGAACUUGUACCCAGCUUUGUCCAGAGAGGGAGGUGGUCCUGAGGAUACAGUCGAUGUGUGACUCGGGGUGCUCGCCGUGUCCUGGUUUCCGAGGAUGAACCAUCUGAAGCAACCGAGAGUCCCACAAGAGAGGGCGGGUUAAGUGACAUCAUAGAAACUGUGGCCCCUGCUUCCUGACACAGAACUCUGAAGUCCCUUGUAAUUUCCUGGGCGUUGUGGUUACAGGGACAUCUUUUGCUGUAAUGAGGCCACUUUUGGCAGGUCCCUAGAUAACAUCAGGAUGGAGGAUGGUCACCCACAAGACCAAGCCUUGAUUAGAAGCCUGGGAUUUUCAGCCCCACCCAACCUUCAAGGAGGGCAGAGGGGCUGGGGAUUGAGUUCAUCGCCAAGGGCCAAGGAUUAAUCCAUCCUGCAUACGUAAUGAGACUGCUAUAAAAAACCUCUAGGCAUUGGAGAGCUUCCUGGUGGGCAGGCACAUUCGGGAGUUGGGAGGAUGGCACACCUAGAGAGGGUACUGAAGCCCUGCAUCGCCCCCACCCCCCACACCUUGCCCUGUGCCUCUUUCCCAUGUGGCUCUUCCUGAGUUGUAUCCUUUAUUUACUUA